UACAGAGCCAUCCAUUAACUUUUGGAGGUGGUUGAUUUUGAUAUCACUUUGUAUUCUUUGAUGGCCAAAUUUUCAGAAACAGUAAAUUGUUCGCCGGCCAGUUCGAUCAGCCAAUUAAACAAACUGCACAUAGAAUUAGAUAGUAAACCAAAUGCUUAAAAGAAAGAGCAAAAAGUGUCAUAUAAAAACUAAAAGUAUGGACCUAAUUUAGAAGAAUUACAUGCCCACUUCACAGCCAUAAUCAACCUAUUUUUAUGCCAAAAUUAAUUAUUUUUCUUCUUUUAAUAUAACAGGUAUUUUACUGUUUGUUUUUCAGCUCAAUGACAACGAAAGCAAUAUGUACCAGAAAGGACUCAUAUGUUAAAUGCAAAUUUAAUUUUUCCUUGAAGACAACUUGAAAAUUAGUAAUUAGUGUGCAAACCUUUUGGACCAUUUACUUGAAAGCAUUAUCCUUCUUUGAAGUUCUAGAACUUAACACUUCUAAAAGGGCAGGCCGGUGCACAAGGCUAGACGAAAAAAGAAAAUCAUCAUUGGGAGGUUUGACAUGUAACUCUCCUGUAACCAUAAUAUAUACAGUAAAUUAUCUAAAGAUGCUACUUAUUUGUUAUAGCCAAGUUAUAAAAGCAAUAAAUAAGAGGUAGUAUUAAUUUG
rnacentral:lncRNA from 1 species